rnacentral:misc_RNA from 1 species
GUAUUUAAAUUGCGUUAAAGCAACAUAUGACAUUCUAAGACAUACAGAGUGUAUAUGAAAGACAUGAGAAUCGUCCCGAGAGACGUCCCACAUUGAGUUCACAGGUGUAAGUGGAUUAAGAGCUCGGGCGUGCACAUGCCCCGAGAGGCCAGCGACAGCCUUUGCUUAUAAUUCGAUAAUGAUCCUUCCGCAGGUUCACCUACGGAAA